AUGGGCAUCAUGCUGGCUUCAUUUCUAGCUGCUUCCCAAGAGCAGGACAUUUUCUCCAUUUUCUCCUUUAACCUUCCAGUGCAUUUAAGUUUAAAGGCACAAGGGACCUGCCUGAGUACUUGGAGGGGAAACAGAAAGAAGCUAGCACAAGAAGACUGCAACCAUCUAGCAGUCUUUUCUUUCUCAUUAAGCCCUUUAAGGAAACAACAUUCUGGCUACUAAGAACAAGGCCAGGCUUUGGAAUUGGAUUAUGCUAGCAAAUUGCAAACUUUGAGUUUUCUAAAAGGCUGCAAGAGAACUAAAGAAUUGCCAUUGGAAAUUUUUUAACCCUCUGAUUGAUGUCAGAAUAACAAGCCUACAGAAUUAUCCUGAUUUCUUGCCUCUGAUAAACCAGCUCCCUAUUCUGUGCACAUUCCACAAUUACAUCCUGAAUGGACCUCUUCUCCCAUUUAGUUUCCUUAUCUUUUCUCUCUGUGUUGACCUGGCCUGUGUAAUAAAAGAACUUAAUGUUUAUUUUGUUGUUGUUGC
rnacentral:lncRNA from 1 species